UUACCUACGGGACGCAGCAGUGAGGAAUAUUGGUCAAUGGGCGCGAGCCUGAACCAGCCAAGUCGCGUGAGGGAAGACGGUCCUAUGGAUUGUAAACCUCUUUUGUCGGGGAGCAAAAGACGCCACGCGUGGCGUUCCGAGAGUACCCGAAGAAAAAGCAUCGGCUAACUCCGUGCCAGCAGCCGCGGUAAUACGGAAGGUCCGGGCGUUAUCCGGAUUUAUUGGGUUUAAAGGGAGCGUAGGCCGCAUGUCAAGCGUGCUGUGAAAUGUCCGGGCUCAACCCGGGCCUUGCAGCGCGAACUGGC
rnacentral:rRNA from 1 species